ensembl:lncRNA
UUGGGAUGCCUGCACGCUGGAGAGAGUUAGGUCUUUUGUGGCUCUGGUCCCAGUAGGAGAUGACAGACACAACCAGAGGGCAGGGUUCCAUGGUUCCACGGUUCCAUCUACUCUAGAGGGAAAGAGGACCUGAGACAAGCCAAAGAGAAAACUCUGGGUGCUCAGCCAACUCUUUGAGAAGGAAAGUGAGGAUGGAGGCUAAAGCCCCUUCCAUCCUUCCUGGUAACUCAGCGGAGACGUCAACACCCACGAUCUGCAACUCAAAGUCAAGGGAUUCCGAGUCCCUGCUUGUGUCAACACUGAAAACGCCCAUAGCAACGGAGGAGGGAUGCGGGGAGGGAAUCCACCACCGGUCCUCCGGCGACUCCCGUCCUGCGCGCAGCAGAGGCAGCGCCGCCCGUGAACACCCCGGAGCCCGGUGCACGCCGAGCCCCGCAGCAGUUCUCCGCACCUCCGGUAAAGGUCUCUGCAGCAGUCCGAAGGCUCCUUUCCCAACCCAGAAACGUCUGCAAUAAAUUGCUUCCAUGUGCUGGCUUCCCGCUUCCUCUUUGUCUCUCAGGGUUAAUGUAGGAAAAGGGAAGUGGCAUAUAUAUAUAUUUUUUAUUUUGAAAAUGACCUUUGGGGCAAAGUCCUGCCAAGUGUGUAGUUCAAUAGCUCAUUUUAUAGAUGAGGACACCGAGCUCCAGUGAAAUCAGAUUCCAGGUCACCCGCUGGUGUGCCGCCAAACCAGGUGGAGAACCCUGGUGCCUCCGCUCCUUGGGCAUUUUGACUCUAGCAUUCAUGUCUGUUUUCCCUUCUUUAAUACCCACUACUGCAAAAAUUUUGUUGCUAUUUCCCUCUGUUAAGAAUUAUUAAAACUAGGAGGAGGGGAAGCAAAAAGUUCUUUCAAUAUUAAAUUAAAGCAAUGUCUAACAAGCCCAUUUGAGAGUCAUUUGGCUAUCUAGGGGAAGGUAACUUUGACUUACUUUUUACUAUAAAAUAGAGUCCAAACAUUUUUAACUCUUAGUUAGGCCAGGAGCCCCGGCUCAGGCCUGUAACCCUAGUACUUUGGGAGGCCAAGACAGAAGGAUUGCUUAAGGCCAGGAGUUCAAGACUGGUGUCAGCAACAUAGCGAGAUUCCCAUAUCGAUUUUAAAAAAUAAACAAAAUAAAAUAACAUGAGAUAGUACUGUGUAGAAACUGUUAAAAUGUAAGUGCUGUCUGGGUAUGGUAGCUCACGCCUGUAAUCCCAGCACUUUGGGAGGCUGAGGUGGGCUUGAGCUCAAGAGUUUGAGACCUGCCUGGGCAACAUGGUGGUGUGUGCCUGUAGUCCCAGCUACUCUGGAGGCUGAGGUGGGAGGAUGGUUUGAGCCUAGGCGGUGGAGGUUGCAGUAAACCAAGAUCAUGCUACUGCACUCCAGCCUGGGGGACAGAGCCAGAUACUGUCUCAAAAAAAAAAAAAAAAAAAAAAGGUAAAUGUUUUUCUGUUCUGCAGAGAUGCAAAUGAUUCCUAUCUGGUCAGAUAAAUUACCCCAAAAGUUACAGUUUUGCUGCCCUGUAGCACGCACGUUAACCAGUUUUGUAUCUAACUUUGUGAUCUUUUUUUCUUUUUUUUUUUCUUUUUUUUUUUGAGACGGAGUCUCGCUCUGUCGCCCAGGCUGGAGUGCAGUGGCCGGAUCUCAGCUCACUGCAAGCUCCGCCUCCGGGGUUCACGCCAUUCUCCUGCCUCAGCCUCCCAAGUAGCUGGGACUACAGGCGCCCGCCACUGCGCCCGGCUAGUUUUUUGUAUUUUUUAGUAGAGACGGGGUUUCACCGCGUUAGCCAGGAUGGUCUCGAUCUCCUGACCUCGUGAUCCGCCCAUCUCGGCCUCCCAAAGUGCUGGGAUUACAGGCUUGCGUCAGCAUUCCUUUUCGUUCUCUGAGUUCACAGAAUCUUUAUUCUCGUAAUCUUUUUGAAUCAGUGUUGCCACCUUGCAAAGUCCCUUAUUAAUGAGUUACCUACCUCACUGAUACAUACUCACCACAUCUUGUCAAGGCUUCAUAUUCCUCUCCCUGUAUAGUCCCCACAAAUAUACACUAUCAGCUUUCAGUGCACACCAAGCGCCCUGUUGAUUCUCUGUCCCAAGUGGCUCCUCUGGAGCGUAUGCAUGACAUCAGGG